rnacentral:lncRNA from 1 species
AAUCUCAAAUGGGGCAACUAGCUAAUGCACUGAAUAAGCGAGAGGAAGGAAAGCUUCCAAGCCAACCACUAAGUAAUCCUAGGGGACAAUACAUGGCUCAAGAAAAUCAACUAAAUACAAUUCAUCAUGAACAAGCCAAUGCUUUGACUACCCUAAGAAGUGGACGUGUAGUAGACAAUAAGAUUGGGGAGGAUAACAAUAAGGAAGGU